CUACGGGCGGCUGCAGUGGGGAAUAUUGCACAAUGGACGAAAGUCUGAUGCAGCAACGCCGCGUGGAGGAUGACACAUUUCGGUGCGUAAACUCCUUUUAUAUAGGAAGAUAAUGACGGUACUAUAUGAAUAAGCGCCGGCUAACUCCGUGCCAGCAGCCGCGGUAAUACGGAGGGCGCAAGCGUUACUCGGAAUCACUGGGCGUAAAGAGCGUGUAGGCGGAUAGAUAAGUCAGGAGUGAAAUCCUAUGGCUCAACCAUAGAACUGCUCUUGAAACUGUCUAUCUAGAAUAUGGGAGAGGUAGAUGUAAUUUCUGGUGUAGGGGUAAAAUCCGUAGAGAUCAGAAGGAAUACCGAUUGCGAAGGCGAUCUACUGGAACAUUAUUGACGCUGAGACGCGAAAGCGUGGGGAGCCAACAGGCUUAGAUACCCGAGUAGUC
rnacentral:rRNA from 1 species